GAUGAGCAUGCAUAAUCUGUUCCACAUUCCUUUCUGUGGAUCCUGCUUGGCCCAUGUUAGCAAGAUGAAGCCUGUUACUCCCUUUAAAACCCGGAGGAACCAGUGGGCUUGUGGGAGGCAGGCCCAUAUGAGCUCCGGCCGCCAAGACUACAUUAUGGUUUUUUCCUCCUUCCUCCGCCUUCUCCAAUUCAGUAUCUAACCUCCUAGGGACCAACCCUGUUGUGAUCGCCUGAAAUCCCCUGGUGUCAUAAUCAGUCCCAACAAAAAGGCAAGCCACCGGAGGAGUCAGCCACCCAGAAGAGUUGUUGUGACUUAUCUCUGACCCCCCAGUCUGAUGAUUUUGCAGCAAGUCGACCGUUGGAGGAGAUAGAGUGGGUCCCAAACCACCUUGGGGAGCGUGUUGUUGUGGCUGGGUGGUUGUACCCUCCGCAUCUUGGGUAGAGAUCCGCUGAUACUCUCCGGUGACCCCCGAACGAGAGCACGGCUAGGGAGCACCCUCGGGGCCGACCCGGCCUUGAUGGUAUGUUCAUAGAUCCCUAGGAGUUCUCCCAUUCCUCCCUGGUUGAUCUCUUCCUCUCGAAUCUCACAUCUUGUCUCUGUAUGCCCCAUUUUACCGCAGAAAAGGCAGUAAUUAAUCACCUUCUCGUAUUUGAAUUCAAUGAUAUCUAGCGCCUCUGUAGGGAGUUCGCAUAUCGCUUGGAAUGUCUCAUCCACUCACACUUCCGCAAAGAUUCUGAUGAACCGCCUCCAGCAUCCUUGCUCCAGGCCAGCUCUGUCACAGUUGAUGUAGCGGAAGUCGAGGCUUCCGAUCGUUUUCAUGUUGUCCACCGUUUUAUACUUCUGGGGGAGAUUGUGAAUCCACAUGUCCGCUGUGUGAAAUGGGAUGCUCCUUGGCUCCCCAUUUCCAUCCCAUCUUUUAAGGUUGAGGAAGGUAUUGGCAACGACCCAGGGUCUCUUCUUCCACACGGAGUUCCUCUGCUCCUCCUUCGAGAAAGUGAAGAUGAAGAUAUUUCCCCCUUCGCUCCUGAUGUCUACCUCCCCCGCGUCACUCCAAGGUAUUCUAGUAGCUCCCUUAAUAGUGCUAGUUGUCAUGUUUCGUGUUGUGAGCAUCCGACCCACCAGCAUAAAAGAGCCACUAUGUCCCCUGUUUUCUAUAGGUAUCAAUGAUGAGGAGGCUCCUGGGUGAGGAGACGAUCCAUGGUGAAAGCGAGACUGGUUAGUUUGAGUUGUUUAGCUGAAUCAGAGGAAUCGCUAUUUGUGUGGGCUUCCAGACGUUCUGUACCAUUCCGCUCCAAUAUAAGUUGAAAAGGCUGAGGGAAGUAGUCUUCAAUUUGGUGGUUGGGGACAAGAUGGGUCUUGAUGUCAUAAGUUGAGCCUUCAACCAUAUUGUUCCUGAUUGUGCACUUGCUGCCAUUUUGGUUUCCCAGGACAUGAAUGAAGAUAAACUUGAUUCUUCCCUUCUUUUUUUCUCCUUUUUUCCAUCUUGGUUCCCAUCUAAGCAGUCCCAGCCUCUGUAUUUGUUCCCUAUGGAGUGGUGCUGUAGUUAAUGAGAGCCCUUUUUCUGUAAGUAGAUGAAUGAAUGAAUGAACCCAGGGAUGUUGGUGUUUGGUUUGUCAUUACUGCCUGCUGAGAAUGCUUCCACGUGGGAAGGGUAAAGCUCCUUAGCUGAGGAGAUGAAAGUUCCAAUAACCGUUUAAUUUUAUUCUCUUUAAUUUAAACGGGUCAAUUGAAAUUAUAUUUUUAUAAGUUAAUUGAUAGUUAGUUAUUAUCUCGAG
rnacentral:lncRNA from 1 species